UUUUUUUUUGGAUCCUCUUAGUUGUAUAAUCUAAUCUAUAUACUAUAUAUAAGCAUUUCCCAUGUAUAAAAUAGUAAAUUAACACUUACUUUUUAAGAUGGCAGACUAAAAGUCUCACACAAAACCCACUAAUUUUACAAAUUUCUUCCAAUUCUACCCCUCUACCCUUUUAUCUAUACUAGGUUUCAGUGAUUUCGUGCUUGAUUAUUGAUGAUUGUAACCGAAGAUUCAAUGUUGGGUGAAAAUUGAAGACGCGAAUUGAAUUUGCCCUAUCGUUUCCAUUCCCUCGUCAGGCUUCUCCUAUGCCCUGAGUUGUAAUUAGGUUAUUCUGCCUUGCAAUCUCAUAAUCGUCCACUCUCAAUUGAUUAGUCGAAAUUUAAGAAGAGUCCAUUCACAUCCCCUCACCGCUCUCAUCAAUUGGCAUGCGUAUUUAUGCAGAGGACACCUUGAUUAUUCUUCAAUUGUUUUCUUGGAGAACCACAACCUCACAUCAAAAUACGAUUUUCACAGUUAUAUGAUCCGUUAUACGGAAUAACCGAAUAAGAGUUUCAAAGAAUAGUUGGAGUAAGGUAAUGAUGUUUCUUUCUUUCUUAUUUAUUUAUUUUACCCGUCUUUUGGUUAUAUGGUAUAGGUGGGAAUGAUGGAAGUGGAUCUGGUGAUUGGAUUUAUGAUGGUGCUGGUGAUCAAGAUCAGCAAUUGCAUGUUUUUACGGACCUGAAUGUUAUGCUCACCAACUGUUCGAAGAAUGUCCUCACACAAGAUCUUCAGCUGAAAUUAUCAUACAGGUUACAUGUCCCUUUGGUUUUAGUGAGUUUGAUUUAUCUGAUAUUGUGGACGAUUCUUUUGUUAGAAUUUUGUGAAUCCUUGAUUAUAUGAUAUAAUGAGUCGCUGGUGAAACACAUCGGCAUGGAUCCGGAAGGCUAUGGUCAUAUCACAUUAGAUUUUUACAAUUUAGAGUAUCAAUUUUUAUUUUAAAUUUAGAUAUGAAUUAUCAUAUUAAUUGCAUAUUAUAUCUUUGAUCUUUCGUCAAUCAUUUUACUUGAGGUCAUAACUGGUAACUUGAGGCUGGACGAUGGGCGGGUGCAGGGCAAAAUUAUUCUUGGUUGAAACGUGUUUUUUAGUAUUACUUCGGCAACCGACCUCUGGUCCAGAUCUCAACGACGGUCUCCUAUUCAUCGUCGUCUCUUUGUUUAAUCUAUUUUAUCUUUGAUUUCCGUUCAUUUAUUUGGCUUCAAAUCAAUGCUAGAGCAAUGACUUUCACAACCAUCUAUUUCAAACGGUGCAUAGGUAUGCAUAUUUCGUGGGGUUAUUUUGUUAAUGGUAUUUUUCUGGGGGUUAGUGAUCCUUGUUUUUAAAUCCUGUUUAGCUUAACGAAUGGUGCUUAAUGUGUUUUUUGUAUUACUUUUAUCUUUUAUCAGGUACUCGAAUCCUUAAAGUUUAUUUAAAACUUCAGGUAAUCUUGUCAACAACAGUUGUUGAAUGGGUAAAUGUGUCACUCGAAACAUCCUCACUUUUAUUUUGGGAAUUUCAAAUGAGCUGCAAACAUUUCUACUUUCAUUUUCACUAUGGAGGCUUGAUGGUGAUUUCAGCAAGGCUGCAGGAGCGAAGACGACCUUCUGCCGCUGGACAGUGGUGAUUGAAGGUGGUUCGAGUGGCACAAUUAGAAGCAAUCUUUCUGACCAAGUUUUCUUACCAAAGGAGUUCGAGCUCCUCAAUUCGAGCGUUGUUUCUAAAGUUUGAGCUCGGCUCGCUUUUAUUUAUUAGUUAAUUUAUAUUAAUUAUAAAUAUUAUUUUAUAUAUAAUUUAGUUACUUUUUAUAGUUUUAUAUAUAUAUUAUUAUUAUUUAUAAAUAUAUAUGUAAUAUAUUAAUGAAAAACUAUAUAAACCAUUGGCUUGUUUAGGCUCACGAGCUUGCUCGAGCUCGAUAAACGAAGCUCGGGCUUGGGCUAUUUUGCGAAACGAGCUUUUUUUAAGGAUCGGGCUCGUUUAAGCUCGAGUCGUUUCAAGCUUUUUUUAGCCGUGCUCGCUCAAGCUCGUUACCACUUCUAACAGUUAGUGAAAUUGCUUAUUAUACUGAAUGUUUGGAUUCCGAAGCCACAUCCAUAACCAGCGACGUGAAGGGGCAGAACAUCGGGAAAAAAAAGAGGUCGUCUAUCUUAUAAAUCACAAUUUCAGGUAAUCUUGCUCUUGUUUGAAUCUUGCCUUCAUGAUUGAUUGGCUGUACUUUUAACUAUGUGAUCAUCGAAAGUGUAAAUGCCCACUAGCGCCAAUUCCAUUUUCUGUCGGUGCAUCAGAUGCGGAACUGCAUCUUUGUCAGACAACGGAGUUUAUGGCAAAAGUGUAUUUACAAAAUUUUCUUCCACUAUCUAGAAGUUCGAGCCUGUCACUGUGUGCAUCUCCGGUUACCUUUUCUCUUUCUAUUCGGAUUUUUUUUGUUUAUUGGUGAUAGGUUAGUUUAACCUUUACUUGAUUUUGUAAAUCUGCAUUUAGUUUAAGUUGUUGUAGGAUAAGUUAUGUUUUUGGUUUUGGAGUGUUUAUCUUCUAAACGAGAUAAAAAUUAUGUUCUUUUUGAUGAUGCAUUACUAAAUCAACAAUAAAAAGAGAAUCUUAGAAUGUCGGAAAGUUUACUAAUAGUAUCCAGUUGUCUCUAUGGUCUGGACAUCUUGGUCUUGACGGUGAGAGGUUAGUACCAGUUUACCAAGUUAAAAAUGGUAAUAAACAUUUCUUUGAUUUUAUUUCAUCCAAGUCUUUUUUUUUUUUUGUUCCAGAUGUAUAAGAUUAGAGACCCCAAGCUGACAGAAAGGAGAUCAUUAUGGCCGAGAGACAUUCAGGAGUAGUGACCAAUAAAGUUAGAGAAAUCCAAGAACACUCAGCCAAGGUUCAAAUUUAUGAUGAAGCACAGGCAAGUUUCCUUUUAGGUUUUGUUAAUUUUUUUUUGUUUUUAUUUCAUUGAGUGACAUUGAUAUGAGAACUGUAUUUUCUAUCUUUUGUGGAUUUAUAUUAGCAUUUUAAUUUUAUGGUCUUUGAAAAGAGGCCCAAGGUUGUGUUUGGAAGCCAACAAUUUUAGAUUUAAGCUUCUAACCUAAAGGAGACUACCCCUUUCUUGUUUUUUUAUAACAAUUUCGGCAUUCUACAUGUAAUACCAACAUUUUGUUUUGCGAGCUUCUAAACUUAUAUAUGGUUUUUUGUCGCUUU